GAAGUUCAGGAACUGAGAGCACUGAAACUCUCCCCACAGUUCUACAUGCAAAUGACCCCACCUACCACCCUCACCAUGUGCCCUUCAUGUGAGCGUGUUGCGGUCCCACCAUCCGCAUCAUCAACCGUCAAUCCUUCUCAUCCGCGGGCCCACCCACAGAUCGGCCCCACUCACCACCACAGGCCUAUCCCGAUCAACCCAUGGGCCCC
rnacentral:misc_RNA from 1 species